CAGUCGCCGCGGGAAUACAGAGGGUGCAAGCGUUAAUCGGAAUUACUGGGCGUAAAGCGCGCGUAGGUGGUUUGUUAAGUUGGAUGUGAAAGCCCCGGGCUCAACCUGGGAACUGCAUCCAAAACUGGCAAGCUAGAGUACGGUAGAGGGUGGUGGAAUUUCCUGUGUAGCGGUGAAAUGCGUAGAUAUAGGAAGGAACACCAGUGGCGAAGGCGACCACCUGGACUGAUACUGACACUGAGGUGCGAAAGCGUGGGGAGCAAACAGGAUUAGAUACCCGAGUAGUCCCUGUCUCUUAUAU
rnacentral:rRNA from 1 species